AGCGAACGCUGGCGGCAGGCUUAACACAUGCAAGUCGAGCGCCCGUAGCAAUACGGGAGCGGCAGACGGGUGAGGAACACGUGGGAACGUACCCUUCAGUUCGGAACAACCCAGGGAAACUUGGGCUAAUACCGGAUAAGCCCUUACGGGGAAAGAUUUAUCGCUGAAGGAUCGGCCCGCGUCUGAUUAGCUAGUUGGUGAGGUAAUGGCUCACCAAGGCGACGAUCAGUAGCUGGUCUGAGAGGAUGAUCAGCCACACUGGGACUGAGACACGGCCCAGACUCCUACGGGAGGCAGCAGUGGGGAAUAUUGGACAAUGGGCGCAAGCCUGAUCCAGCCAUGCCGCGUGAGUGAUGAAGGCCUUAGGGUUGUAAAGCUCUUUCGUCAGGGAAGAAGCGAAAGUGACGGUACCUGCAGAAGAAGCACCGGCUAACUACGUGCCAGCAGCCGCCGUAAC
rnacentral:rRNA from 1 species